AUGUGGGGACUAGUUUUGAAUCUCUAUCUCUUUAUCAUAUCACUCCGUUAUUUUUACAUGAGUGAGUUGUGAAAGUGAGAAGGUACCUAACCACGAUGAAGAGAAAACUGAUGUUCCUGAAGAGCUGAUGUUCUCUUUGAGCGAAGCGGGCAGUGAGUGAUGAUGCAUUUCAUCCGCUCCUUGCCAUUGAUGACCGUUCCAUGCUCUCUAGUGGAGCCUGGAGGUGGGUAUCAUGAUCAGAGUGGU
ensembl:snoRNA U3 Small nucleolar RNA U3